AGCAAAGUGAUGAGGUUUUAAUAUCUGAAUGUCAUGUGGAUUUCUUAUUCAAAUAGCCUUCAAAGUUCUCUGAUUGCU